rnacentral:rRNA from 1 species
ACGAACGCUGGCGGCAUGCCUAACACAUGCAAGUCGAACGAGACCUUCGGGUCUAGUGGCGCACGGGUGCGUAACGCGUGGGAACCUGCCCUUAGGUUCGGAAUAACUCCCCGAAAGGGGUGCUAAUACCGGAUAAUGUCUUCGGACCAAAGAUUUAUCGCCUUUGGAUGGGCCCGCGUUGGAUUAGCUAGUUGGUAGGGUAAAAGCCUACCAAGGCGACGAUCCAUAGCUGGUCUGAGAGGAUGAUCAGCCACACUGGGACUGAGACACGGCCCAGACUCCUACGGGAGGCAGCAGUGGGGAAAAUUGGACAGUGGGCGAAAGCCUGAUCCAGCAAUGCCGCGUGAGUUAUGAAGGCCUUAGGGUUGUAAAGCUCUUUUCCCCGGGAUGAUAAUGACAGUACCGGGAGAAAAAGCCCCGGCUAACCCCGU